CUUAGGGUCAGCAACGGCCACGCCAGGUGCCUCUCCCUCCAGGUCCGUGUGCAUCACUGCCCCAGAGUCCGCGUGGCCCAGCCGCCCGCACCCCGGCCCAGGCUGGGCGCUCGCAAUGGGUCCUGGGCUCCCGGAGUCCCGCACCCGGAGGGCAGGCAGCCGGCCAGGAGCGCCAGCUCGCCUCAGAGUUGGUGGGAGUCGCGCUUUUGCCCAGGUUGGGUUGGAGGGCUCUGCCUGAGAGGGCGCCCCCGCAGAGCCGGCCUCUUAGAGUCGCUUGCCUCGCACCUCCUUUCCUCUUUUCCUUCCAGUCUCUGCCGCUUUUCCCACCAUCAGAGAUUCAGGAAGGGCUGUGAAGCAGCUCUGCCGUGGGCGACCACGACAGACAAGGACCUGCCCCCUAGAACUCACCUUCUGCUGGGGGAGAGGCAGGACCAGGAACACCCCUAACUGCACAGCUGCAGUCUGUGAGAAGGGCAAGGAAGAAGCCAGAGCGGGGUGGGGGUACAGUGAGGGGCGGGACCACUUUAGAUAGGCCUCCGAGGAGGGGGUGUUUACGCUGACCGUGAACGAGAAGAGGGAGCCCGUCUUUGGAUGAUCUGGGAGAGAGCUUUCCAGGUGGAUGGAACAGCAAAGGCAAUGGCCGCGAGGGCACGAAGGGUUACCCAGAGCUGUCCACGCCGUUUGUCCAUUCUUCCCCUUGAGAUGAAAAGGCUUAGAUUUGCAAGACAACUGGCAUUCUGCCUUCUUUCUGUGCCUCCCUCUGCCUGGAAUGAUCUUCCCAUAGGCUUCCACAGAACCGGUUCCUUCAGGUCGCCGUCAAUGGUCACCUCAGGACUCCGGGAGCCGGGAGCCGGGCGCAGCCAGUGAGGCUGAGGUGUGCAAAGGGACAACUUUCUUUAAGUCUUUAUUUUAAAAGUUGGUAUUUUGCUCACCAUGGAUUGGUUUUGCACUAAAUUUGAUUCUUAAAAAAUAUCAUAUCAAAAUUUUAUUUAUCUUGAUUCCUGAGCUUUUUGGCGCCUCCUUAAAUUUCACCCCCAGGCGAGAGCCCCACCGGCCUCAGUCCAGCCCCAGCUCAGCUCCUGGUCCAGGGUGCUGUGGACUGGGAGUCAGGAGACCUGGCUUCUGGUCCAGCUUGUGCCACUAGACCAGCUGUGUGACUGAAUGCAUGUACCCUCGGCGCCCUGAGCCGCUCAGCUGCACCAUCUCUCCAGGGACGGGCUAUUCCUGGCUCUAGUUCUAGAAUGAUCCAAGACACUCCUUAGAACUCUGAUAGGUUGUGUAUUGUAUGCAUCUCCUGGGGGCUUUGGGCCUGUUUUAGGCCUCUGACUCUGGCCAUUAUGUCACCGGCCUUUCCCCAUCCCAUGUGAGGUGAUCCUCUGUGCAAACACCACAUCUUCGUGGCUGCUUUGUGCAAUGAGCGUUGAUGCCCUUGUCGUUUUCCCCAUCCUGGGGGGAGUUUCAGUUUUGGAGGUGUGGUCGUGCCCUUUAUUCUUGCUUCUUGCUCUUUGGUUCCAAUCACUGGAUCAUGUGACACACCUUCAUUAGGAAGCUUCCCAAAUGCCAAGUGCUGAGCAACCACUCAGGAUACAAAAGAAACCUGUCCAGCCCUGGAAGAGCUGACGUUCUAGCGAGGGAGCCAGCACAUAAGCAGACCCGUGUGCUGAGAGAAGUGUGCCCGGGGUAGAGGACGUCCAGCUCAGUGAAGGUCACCUUGAGAGGACGGUGCACUGUCCUUCCUCCUGGGGGGACCCUGCAUCCUGGGGGCUGUCUCCAAGUGCCAGCGGCCCAGAGCAGUGGGCAGUCACCUUCCUAAUGGACUCUCCGCCAUAGAGAGCUGUGGUGUGACAUUUUGCAUCCACACUUGAAUGGGCGAAGCUCUGAGUUACAGCUUUCAGUUCCUUCUAACUCCCCAUCUCCCUCCAUCCCUCCUCUGGAUUGUGGCUUGUUCCUCAGUUGUUCCUAGUUCUGACAACCCUCAAAACCUGUUUCAAAGUGCACCUCCCUCUUUCAGUUCUCCUCCGCUGCUCCAGCCCUCAGGGGACUCUUCUCUCACUUUUUUUCCAAAGCCUUUAUCAACUAAUAGACCUUCUGCCUGGAGCUUAAUUAAGAUCGGUCCAGAGUUUCUUGUUGCUUCAGCAAAGCCGGAAUGUAAUGGUUCUUGCAGGGAGAGGGCACUUGCCUGGCAGUCAGUAACAGCUGGGAGGGCUCUGCUCCUCCACUCAGAGGGUACAAACAGAUGUAUCUGGCUAGCCUUCUGUGUUUUAAAAAUAAUGAAUUAUGUGCCAAUACUUGAAAAUCAGGAGAUCUCAAAUAAAACUCUGGGUUUUCGGCUUCCCUUGAAAACUUAGAAGUUGUGCCAACCCUGAGCCUACAUUCCUCCCUGGCAAAAAUUGGCUAGAUCUGGUAGCACCUUUUUCCUUAAGUGGGGCAUGGGUCUUCCAGUUUGCCACAAUCCCCACUACUCCUUAAUGUCUAACAUUAGGCUCCCUUUACUUAUCUACUUUACCUUCCUGGCCCCUAGAGGAUUUUGAGAUUUUAAUCCCUUCUAACUUUUUUCUUUAAGAGGGUAGACAGCUCAUCAGAGCACUAUGCACUGGCUGAUGCUUAGCAUGGCCCAAAGGGAGGCUGGGCAUCACUCUGAAAAUUGUUGGGGAGGUGGGGAGGGGACACUUAGGAGGGUGCUUGCUGUGAAUCAGUCUGAAGAGUCUUAGUAUCAACGAACUCCAGUGUUGGAACUUGGCUGCUACCAUGCUGCUUUACCUGGACAUGUAGAGAUAUACUUAGUGUGAACAUAAAACAAUAAAUUUAUAAAAAUUAACUAACUUAUCAAGAGCACUUACUAUGUGCCAGAUACUGUUCUCAGAUUUUUACGUUUAAUUUCACAAUAACCCUGUGUGGUCACCACUGUUACUUCUCCCAUUUUAGAGACAAGGGACCUGAGACGCAGGUAGGUAACUUGCUCGGGAAUGCACAGCCAGAAAACAAGAGGCUGCAAUUGCACCAGACACAGAAUGCCUGGAACCUGGAUUUUACCAGGAUUGGAGGUACCGGCAGGUGAUGGGUUUUUCUAUUGUUGUCUUCUCUGCAUCAUCCAUUUCCUGGGGCUGUAAUCUGUUUCCCUCCUGCCAGGAGGCUGUGAAGUUUGAGGCUUCCUUCCCUUGGCACCGGGCUGAAGUUAGCUGGCCCCCAGCUCUGCUACUGUAGGCUCUUUGAUCUGGAGACACACUGGACUACACGGCUUCAGCAAGAGGAGGACAGGGGAGGGCUGGGGCAAGAAAGCAGGGGCUUUGCCAGCCCAGACCAGGUCCCCUCAGACAGCCCAGGGAUCCCAGAAGUGCAGGGCCCACCUGCCAGCCCCUGGGCAUGAGCUCGUAGCCCCUGUGUCCCCACGUCUGAGGUCAGCGCCCGGAUGCUGAGCUCCGAGCAUCCGUCUUGCUGCAAUGGAAGAUUUGAAUCCCCUUGUCGUCACUUUGCAUUGCUUCUGGGCUGUGUUCCCUCUUAUUUCAUUUUCGUCUGAAAUCCUGAGCUCACCCUCCUCGGCAGCUGACGGGCCCAUUUAUUUCCAAGGCUGCAGCCAGUCGGAGGGCUGCCGACAGCUCCGCGGAGCGCUCUGGGUUUGUGCCACCUCGUUUUGUUCCUGCAGACAGGGCUGGGAGACCAGAGAACAUCUUCAUUUUGCAGCAGCAAAGCUGUCAGAGCCUUCAGCCUCAGCCCUCAUCCUCUUGGGCCUGAGAUGCAUUUGGUUUGCCCUAGAGGGCACUGCCCGGGUUGACUCUGUCCCUUGGUCUUUCGUCCUUUUGGACUCAAAACCUUGAGAGCGUGCAGCCUGUGCUUUGCAAAUGUCCUGUCAAAUGCCCCUGAUUUGUCACAGUUGGAACAGCUCCUAGAGAUCGUGUUGUCAGAUCUUCUCGCAGUGUUCAGAUAAUGAAACAAAGCCCAGAGAGGGCAAGAGACUCAUGGGGAAUUGCACAGCAAGUGAGAGGCAGAACAAAACUGACAGGCUCCGGCCCCAGCCAUUUCACAUUAUUCCAGUCCACCUCUUCAGAAUCUCAGAAGGCCAGCCUCAAGGGACUCCCCUCACGAGGCAUCAUCUACCUGCAAGGCUCCUCCGCCAGCACUUCAGGGCACUGCUGCUCCUCCCCUUCCGGCCUCAGCUCAGAUGUCCCCUCCUCAGGGAGGCCCGCCCCUCCUGCCUUGUCUGAAGCACCCUCCAGUCACUCUCCAUCACAUUCUCUGACAUCCUCCAUUGUUUUGUCCUCAGAGCUCUGAUCAGUACCUGCAAAGAUCUCCUAUCAGAGUUUAAUUUGCAUUUUUGUUGUCGCUCCCACCAGAAUGCGAGCUCCAUCUCCCACCAGAAUGCGAGCUCCACCAGGCAGUGACCGCGUCUGUGUCUGUCUCACUCGCCUCAACCUCUCCAGUAACCUCGCCAGUACCGGCACACAGAGGCGCCCCGCAUGUCUGCGCAUGUGGAGUGAAGGGAUGAAGGGAUUUCAGGGACUUCCAAUGGUCCCUAAACAAGAGCACAGUUUUCAUUUCUUUCAGCACAGAUCCACUUUGCGUCUUCUGGAAUUUCACGCGAAUGGAAGCUUACGGAGCGUCCUCUUUGGCGUCUGCCUUCUUUUCCUCAGCAUCAAGCUCCACGCUCAGCAUCCGUGUUGAGUCUCCUGUCUUCUGCCGGCAUCCAUAAAACUGCGGUGGGCUCACUUGCUAGCUUGCAGGUAGGGUAGAUCUCAGACCCUUCUCAGUUCUUGACGAAAGCGAUCUCUGUAUUUUUUUCCUUGCAGCACUUUGACAACUGUAGUUAAAUACUUAUCCUUAAGUAUCUUGAUGUACUUGUCUGCCUCACUAACCCCUGUGUUCUCUGGUUCACAGCUUUAUUCCCAGGGUCUUGCACAGUGCACAGUAGCACACACAAGAUGCUCAAUAAACAUUUGUAGAGUGAAUGACUGGAUGGUUGAGAGAAUGAAUUCUUGUUGCCUUGGUCCCACUGUCUCUUCCUCAAGAAGCAAUCGUGGAACCGAAUGACUGGCUUGUUGUCCCAGCUAUUUGCAGGCAAGCUCCUGGGAGCCGUCUCUGCUUUGUGCUGGGCUGGCUCUCAUCUUCCUCCUCAUCCUCCCCCCCACCCCCGCCCCCCGUGCUUCUCCUACACAAGUGCUGCUGAGAGCACUUCAAGUGGAGGGAAGUUCCUCUCCUUUUCAUCUGCCAGCUGCUUGCUUGAGGUCAAGGAUCUCCCUCUCCACUUUACAGAAGAGGAAACAGGCCCCAGAGGUGAAACUCUCAUGUAUCUCUUGCCCUGGGUUUGGCCAUUUGCCGUCCAGUCUCAGACGGGGCCAGGAGCUGGGGCUUUUGCCCUCAUAGCCCACCAGCCCCUGGAUAUCAAGAGGGUGGGAUGUGGGUAGAACGCAGAAGUAUCUCAAACUAUUGACGACAGGGUUGACCCACAGCAGCAGUUCAGUUAGUGCUCAGCAGAGUCCUGGCUUUAGAUGGGCAUCAUCCUGCUGGGGGAUCCUUGGGGGCCUCUGAGCGGCUGCCAGUGAAAGGCCCUUGUUUGGCUCUGAACAGUUCAGGGGGUUACUUACUUGCUGGCAGGGGGUCUGCAAGGGUGGGCUGAGCUUCCAGAGCUCUCGAUGCUGACUUGAAUCCUGUUCUUGGUCCUGCCAAGUCCAGUCCCCUCGGUCGCCCAGUCUCUUCCAGCCACGCCUGGGAUGGGGGUCUCUGGAAAUCUCUCUGUUCUCUUUUUAUAUCAUUAUUAUGGCGUACACUUAAUGCCUGUUUCCCUUGGCGCCUCCCAUUUAUUUUCAAGAGCUUCCUUUGAAGUAAGAAAAAAAAAAAGGAAUGUUAUCAAUUUCUCCUUUCAUUUCUGCUGAAACAAUUUUAAUUCUCUCCCACUUGGUGUGGAUCCCUCUGAUUUAUCAGGGCAGAGUCUUGUACAGGAAGGAUGGGUGGAGAAGGCAAUGAGAGCACAAAGACUUAUAUUUCAAGAUAGUGCGUUGUGGCAUUUAGAAACUGUGGGGUAGAUUCAGGGCUGAAUUGGGGCUCCCAGGCUAAUGCUUUUCUCAGUACUUCAGGUUACAUCUCUGGUCAAGUCAGUGACUGUUUAUUAAGCACCUACUGUGUGCCAAAUGCUUUGUUGACUCACGGACCCUGAGUGCUUAAAAGCUAUGCUUUCUUCUCAGUGGUAAAGCUGUAAGUCUUGCAUCUCCUUUCAUAUGGACUGGAAUGAAAACUCUUUUGGGGAAAAGGAAAAAAUUAGCUUUCAGUGGUGGUAAUAGUUUGUGCGUUCAUCAAUCCACACAUUUACUCAUUUUUAAACAUUCAUUGAGCACCUGCUGUGUGCCAAGCCUUCUACUUGAUCUGGGGGAUAUGGCCUUGGCCGUGACAGGGAGGGUCUCUGUCUUCAUGCACUUUGAAUAUUCUUGUGUAGAGGGGCAAUAAACAAAGACACACGUAAGGACAGACAAUGAUAAACAAAGGGAGGAAAAGUAAAGGGAGUGAAGGUUUAAGAGCGAUGGAGGCAGCUCUGGGAAAGUGACGUCCAGGGCUGAGUACGCUCAACUCAUUCAGUAAUCACUUCUCGAAGGGCUCAGAGCUGAGUCGCAGAUCCUUCCUCCAGGCAGCUUGUCUCUCACGCUCUUUUUCUACUAGUAACGGAUUCGCUGGGCUGAGCCAUGGCUGCCCUCCCCUCUUCUCUUUGGCUCCUGCCCCACCUACGCUGCCUUAAAUCCAGUCCAUUCCCUGGGGCCAUCCAUCCCUUUGUGCCCUGGGCCAUCCCUUGAGCAUGUGGUCUAGCUGCUUUGCUAUUGCUCCAACACAACAGGUGUCUGGAAAGUUCUUCCCCAAGAUAUCUGCACGGCUUGAUCAUUCACUUGUUUUUAGGUCUUUGCUCAAAUGCCACCUUCAAGGGGAAGUCUUUCCUGGGCCCCCUAUUUAAAAUUGCAACAACCCCACUUCUACUCCAGACCUCUCCAUCCUCCAUUUUGUUUUCUUUUUCUCCUAAUGAGAGCACUUGAGAGGACCGAUGACCUUCAGUUGAGGGACCCAGGCAGCCUGCGGCAAUGGUGCUCUCCUCCGUCCAUCUUGCUGAGGCUCCCAAUUGGCCUUGCCCAAUCAGAAGAUGGAGGCGUGUGUGUGGUGGCGAGAAGGCGGAGAAUGACAAGGCCUGAACUUGAACUUCAGCUCCCGCACUUACCAGCCACCACCACUCCGUCAGACACCCGGUGUCUCACUGGGCCCCUCGCCGGUGCUGAGUAAGCAUUAAUUUCACCACGCCAGAAAGUUGAAUCUGAGAGCACAUCCUUUCAAUAGAGGUAACAGCAAGAGCAGGCUUGUGAGUAGGAGAGAUCGGUGAAGACUGAAACGCUCGGGUCGCUGCACAUGCCUGGGGCCGGGGAGCUGAGCAGCAGCCGAAGGCAGGGACACACACUCGCUCCUGCGUCUCAGUUGUGGUAGCUGCAGCCUCAGCUGGGACGCAUCUGGCUGCAAAUCAACAGGCAAUUCCCGUGCCCACUGCCUUUUAUCCCCAUGGCUGUUCUACCUCCAGCUCUGUGUUCGGGAAUGGAGCCAGAGCCGUCGGAAGGGAUGGGCAGGGUGCCACAGCCGGAAGAUGGCGGGUUUUGAGUGUGUGGCGCAGGGUCCAAAUGCCGGCUCCGUCACUCUGCGCUCUGAGAGGACAUGGGUGAGUCAUUUAAGCUGCUCUGGGUCUCAGAUGCUUCACGGAAAACCAGGAUCAUUGUACCUUCAGCAUCGUUUUUUAUAAAAACGAAGGUGUGAAAUUGUAUGGGUGAGGUACAUGGUAUCUGGCAGCUGUGGUUAUGCCAAGGAGGGUCAUUGAUUGCUGCAUACGCAGCAUACACUAGGCCUGGCGCUUUGAGUUUUCACGUGUGAUCACGUGUAUCCCUCACAGCAAGCCUGUGAGGGAUUUCCACUCUCCUUCUUCUUACUCGAGUGAGGAAAUUGAGGGGCAGAGCCCAGGCCAUGGCCCAAGGUCUCAGAGCUCCUGCGUGGCCCAGGAGGGAGACGAACCCAGGCCAAUUGCCACCCGAGCAAGGUGCUUCCCUGCCUUGCUGUCGGCAGACUCUGCGGACCACACCCGGGGCCUCCCCCAGAGGCCGGUGACCCAGACCUAGCUGCUCAAAGGACUGUGCCCCUUGUGUUGGGCGGUCUGCUGGACCGACUGUGUAGUUUGCAGGGUCCAGUGCACAGGGAAAAUGCAGGGCCCUUGUUCAGAAGACAUUAAGAAUUUCUGGAUGGUGACAGCAGAGCAUUCAACCAAGCACAGAGCCCUUCUGAACAGGGGCCCACAGGUCGUAGGCCCAGGCAGCCGGCCCCAGUGGUCUUCACUGGGCUGUGCCUCCCAGGAGACUGGGGGCACGCUGUGGGCUCCCUCUGAAUGUUUUGUCAGCCUCCUAACUUCUCUGAAGACCCAAAGGAAACCCUGAGAUAUGCUAAGCAGGCCCAACACAAACCCUGAAAAUCUUCCUGGCUGCACUUAGCUCCAGCAAGAAUAUGACUGGAUCCACAUGAAAUGGUUACUUGUGACUCAGGCUGGCCAAGAGCCCUCACCUGCCCAACAGGUGAGGUCAGAAAACUCCACAGGCAGGCUCCUCAUGUUCCCUCUCCAGUUUACAACCUAAGAAAUUAUCAUAAUCAUUACAUUAAUUCUUAGUUAUAGUAAUAAUAAUAAUAAUAGUUUUCAACAGUAAUUUACUCUGUAGUCAGCAUUCACAUUUACUUAACUUACGCAGGUUAUAGACUUUCUGAAAAAUCAGUGUUACUGAACCAAUCUGUUCACGUCCAAAGUUAUAAACUGUAUUUCUUGUUCUGAAAAACUCUUUUUUUUUUUUUUUGCUGGGGAAGAUCCCUCCUGAGCUAAUAUCUGUUGCCAAUCUUCUUCUUUUUCUGUAUGUGAACCACUACCAUAUCAUGGCCGCUGACAGAUGAGUGGUGUAGGUCUGAGCCCGGGAACUGAACCUGGGCUGCCAAAGUGGAGGGUGCUGAACUUAACCACCAGGCCCCUGGGGCUGGCCUUGAAAAACUCUUAAUGCUGCAGUUUCCUGCAAAAUUCAGCACAAGAUUCCAACACUUCUCAAAUCGUUGAGCACAAGGAAGAAUACCCUUCUCAUCCCCCACCCAACACACACAUACAGCAUCAAUUAAUUACAUUAUUAUAAAUAAAAUGCUGUGGUGUAACAUUCCCGGCCCAGACUUGUCCUCACACAGGCCUCUGUCUGGCCACGCUGCUCGUGGCCAGCUUCAUAAUUUGGGUUCCAGACACGGGUCCAUACAUCCAAGCGAGGGGAACUGCUCUGGCCCACCUCACAGGCAGGCAGGACCACCACGCACCGACGUGACCCGCCUUACAAACAGGAGACCUGAGACGGGUGGUCAGAGAGCUGUAAGCAGCCUGGCUGGGGAGCGUCGAGUCACUCGAGUGGGCUGUUGGGGAGCCCCCAGCUGGCCCACUGAACUCGACAUUGUCUCACGUCCACCUCCCCAGGAGUCUCUUUGCAGCAGGUAUAAAUCUUAGUCCAUAAAAUUGGGCGUGCCAAAAAAAAGAAGUAGCACAUUUCUCUAUUUUCUUUCACUUCAAGUGGUGGCAGAUUCAGUCUCAGUCGUGGAUGGGGUUUUCUUUUCCCCCCACAACAGCCAGGCAUGUGCCAAGGUCCUGAGAGUGCCAGGCAGCGGGAAGGCCCUGGCUUCUGUCCCCGGUUGGGGGCACAGGCAUCUCCAUCGUGGCUGGGCAUCCCCUGCAUCGCCCGAGGACGGUCGUCCUCCCCUGGGGGCGAUUUUGCCCCCGCCCCCCAGGGGCAUUUGUCUGGGGACUUUUUUGGCUCCCACAACUGGCACCUCGUGGGGAGGGCCACUCAUGCAGCUAAAGUCCCUUCAACGCAUGGGACAGCCCCCUGCAGGAUAAAGAAUUAUUCUGUCCCGAUGUCGAUAGUGCUGAGGCUGGGAAACCCUGCCCUCAGAGGUUCUCAAGCCCCUAUUUCCCCAGCCUUCUGACUUCUGGCCACUUUAUAAUCUGGCAACUUCUUUUCCUUUCUCUUCAUGUUGUUCUGAAUGUAACUUCCCUCUCUAUUCUUGUUCUCUGCUAAACUACCUCACCAGUCAAAGAGCCCAGUUGUUCAUCCGCCACAGAGAUGACCCGUAACUGGUCGAAGCCAUCAUUUCCACACCCUAGUAUUAGAGACUGGCUUUUCCAGCCUCUCUUCCAGCUAGGGCUUGCCAUGUGACAUAGUUCUGGCCAAUGAAAUGUAAGGAGACAUGUGCUGGGGGCCUCUGGAAAAGAGAUUGCUCCUUGUGUGAGGUGUUCUGGAGAGGAGAGCUGUCUGGUGUCAGCCACCAUGAUUUUCCUGCCUGGAACAACCACGUGAGGAUGUAAGGUGUAGGGCUGUGGCAGCCGUCUUGCAACCAUGAGGUAAGUCAGGAGAAUUGCAGACAUGAGCCACCAAAUGGACCCUGGAAUCAUCCACUUCCAGGUCUCUUGUUAAAUAAGCUACAAAUGUCCUUAGAGUUUAGACCAUACUUGAUACACUUGGGCAAACCUCUUAACCUCUCUCUAUCUUACUCUUGUGUAAGAAGGGAAGAAUAAAUGCUUCCUGCAUAAAGUUGUUAUGGAGAUUUAAUGAGAUGACGUAUGUAAAGCAUUUGACUAAGUGCCUGGAAUAUAAUAACUAUUCAAUGUAUUGCAAAUGUCUUUGUUACUGUCCCUAUGAACCGAAUUAAUUGGGGAUGAUAUUACGGGUCUUCCGGUAAAUUUCUUCUACUGAUUGAUUGUUCACUCAAUUAUCCAACAAACAGGUAUUAGCGCCUGCCAUGCUAAGAUACUGGAAAUGAUAGGAAGUUAUUUAAGAGAAUACAAUUAGGGGGAAAUGAUACCUGAGAGGUUGUAUAUUAGAUCCCAGCAAAAUUCUCUUUUAUUCAAGAGCUGGAUUUUGUAAACUUUAGUUUCUGUAUUCUGUCAUUGUAUGUGUCAUAUCCAUGUACCAUGUCCUUGCCCUGGUACAAUAGCUGUACUGUUAUUGACUUAAAAUUUUUCUUUAAAC
rnacentral:lncRNA from 1 species